UUACCAGGCCUUGACAUGCAGAGAACUUUCCAGAGAUGGAUUGGUGGCCUUCGGGAACGUCUGACACAGGUGCUGCAUGGCUGUCGUCAGCCCGUGUCGUGAGAUGUUGGGUUAAGUCCCGUAACGAGCGCAACCCUUGUCCUUAGUUACCAGCACGUUAUGGUGGGCACUCUAAGGAGACUGCCGGUGACAAACCGGAGGAAGGUGGGGAUGACGUCAAGUCAUCAUGGCCCUUACGGCCUGGGCUACACACGUGCCACAAUGGUCGGUACAAAGGGUUGCCAAGCCGCGAGGUGGAGCUAAUCCCAUGAAACCGAUCGUAGUCCGGAUCGCAGUCUGCAACUCGACUGCGUGAAGUCGGAAUCGCUAGUAAUCGUGAAUCAGAAUGUCACGGUGAAUACGUUCCCGGGCCUU
rnacentral:rRNA from 1 species